AGCUUGCGACGGGGGUGACGACAGUGGUCGGGGUCCCCCGACCUUCCGGAGCGCCGAGGGAGCCGCACCAGGGCCGCUAGUGCAGCGGCCCUUACGUCAUCUCCGUGAUCUAUGGGGAAGCCUGGAGCCAGCAUGUGUUUAGCCCCCACUCAUGGCCACGCCCACUGGCAUAAAAAAGAUAGUCUGCCUGUGAGUCAAGUCUUGAUUCCAGGCAGCUGAGCAUGGACAGCAGUGUUAAGCCCCCAUUCAUGGCCACGCCCACUGGCAUAUAAAAGACAGUCUGCCUGUGAGUCAAGUCUUGAUUCCAGGCAGCUGAGCAUUGACAGCAGUUCAUUCCUUUUAUCUCCUCCAACAUUGGAAGCCUGGGUCUUCCCUGCACUGUCUGCAGCCUAGAUCUGAAUACUCAACAACAAGCUCUACAAGCCCACAAUUUACCUACUCAUAUCCAUUCAAUCCCUUAUCAGGGCUAACCCAUUGGGGGCACUCUGCAGGCACCGGCUCCCCUGAUCCUCGGAGGGCGUCCACUGUGCGGCUCCUUGCAACCCCCCUGGGGUCUGUUUUGGUUUCCCUCUCUCCCCCAUGGGGUUGUGGGUGGCGCUCCCUUCGGAUUUUCUAACGGCUCUGCAGACCUCUGGUCAUUACAAAACCCACUUCAUUCGUUAACGGUAAACCUUAUUCUUGGGUCAAUUUAUGUGAUUUAUAUUUAUACUUUUUUGAUCGCAAAUUUAUGUUAUGUAUAUUUUUGUAGAAUCAACCAUCCCCCUGAAGAGACCACUUAGAGGUCGAAACGCGUCGGGGAACGCACAUCACACAGCAUAAAGCAAUGUUGUAUACAUUUGUCCAAUAUUGUGGAAUAUGUAUUGUAUCACCAGAUCCGUAAAGGGUUUUCUUUUAAUUGUUAUUGCAUUUAAAAUGUAUGUUAUUGACAACCAUAAAAUAAACCAUGUUUUAUUAUA